UGAUUUGAGUCUCAUGGAUUGCAUUGUACAUACAUAUAUACAUAGAAAAAAAUUUUGAAAAAUUUGAAAAAACACAAAAAGAAGCAUGUAGUUGCAUCACUUGCACUUUUAGGAUUGAGUCUAUAGCAUAUAGGUUGCAUUCACUUGCAUAGGGAGCAAUGAUUUAAAAUGCCUUGUAAAGAACCCUUGUCUAGAACUCAAAGUGGCACCCUAGUUAAACAUAUCAAGUAGCUUAAGCAUCUCUUGAAAGCUUUGCAUGCUUCGAGCCUUGAAAACUCUUCUUGAAACUUGUUUGCUUGCUUGAUAUUGGCAUUGUUCUUAAAAUCAGCUCCAAACUGAACUUGGCUUGAAUGAACUUAAUCUCUCUUGCAUAUGGGCACUUGCAUACUUGAUCAUGGAUCUCAUACACAUUUGGGUUAUCUUAUUCCAUUAUACCACUUUUUGUUAACCCAAAUGACACUCCAUACCCUACAACCCUAGCCAUUCCUUGAGACCGAACAUUGAUUUGCAUGAGUGAGGCCUCUUUUGAUAGCUUGUCAUGUGCAAAAUCUUGAGAGUAUUGGAGGCGACAUUGAUUUGUUCUCAUCUCUUGCUAGGAUAAUGAGCUAGCAUUUGGGGAUGGUGAGUGGGUUUGUGUAUUCUAAAUGUUAAUAUUUUGGGUUUGGGGAGUGAGAAAGAUGAGCAAAGUGUCAUGGAAAAAAAGGAAAAAUCCUAGGGCCAAAAGGAAAGAAUGAAGCUCUAGAUUGUGUACAAAGGAACCUUCCCCCUUAUAAAAAAAAAAAAAGAAUCAAUGAGAAGGUGGGAAGGGAAAUGAGAAAGAGUUAGAGCUAAGU
rnacentral:lncRNA from 1 species